AACGAACGCUGGCGGCGUGGUUUAGGCAUGCAAGUCGCACGAUCGAAAGAUAGUGGCAAAAGGGUGAGUAACGCGUGGGUAAUUUACCCUCGAGUUGGGAAUAACGUUUCGAAAGAGGCGCUAAUACCGAAUAAGACCACAGGGACGUAUGUUCCAGAGGUCAAAGCCGGGGACUCCGCAAGGGGCCUGGCGCUUGAGGAUAAGCCCGCGUCCUAUCAGCUAGUUGGUGAGGUAACGGCUCACCAAGGCUGUUGACGGGUAGCUGGUCUGAGAGGAUGGUCAGCCACACUGGGACUGAGACACUGCCCAGACUCCUACGGGAGGCUG
rnacentral:rRNA from 1 species